AACGAACGCUGGCGGCAGGCCUAACACAUGCAAGUCGAACGCCCCGCAAGGGGAGUGGCAGACGGGUGAGUAACGCGUGGGAACGUACCCUUCGGUUCGGGAUAACUCAGGGAAACUUGAGCUAAUACCGGAUACGUCCGAGAGGAGAAAGAUUUAUCGCCGAGGGAUCGGCCCGCGUCUGAUUAGCUUGUUGGUGAGGUAACGGCUCACCAAGGCGACGAUCAGUAGCUGGUCUGAGAGGAUGAUCAGCCACAUUGGGACUGAGACACGGCCCAAACUCCUACGGGAGGCAGCAGUGGGGAAUAUUGGACAAUGGGCGCAAGCCUGAUCCAGCCAUGCCGCGUGAGUGAUGAAGGCCCUAGGGUUGUAAAGCUCUUUUACCCGGGAAGAUAAUGACUGUACCGGGAGAAUAAGCCCCGGCUAACUUCGUGCCAGCA
rnacentral:rRNA from 1 species